rnacentral:rRNA from 1 species
GACAGAGGGUGCAAACGUUGUUCGGAAUUACUGGGCGUAAAGCGCGUGUAGGCGGCAGGGUGUGUCGGAUGUGAAAUCCCGUGGCUCAACCACGGAAGUGCACCCGAAACUACCCAGCUCGAGUCUCGGAGAGGAAGGUGGAAUGCUUGGUGUAGAGGUGAAAUUCGUAGAUAUCAAGCGGAACACCGGUGGCGAAGGCGGCCUUCUGGACGAUGACUGACGCUGAGACGCGAAAGCGUGGGGAGCGAACAGG